UACGUAGGGGGCAAGCGUUGUCCGGAUUUAUUGGGCGUAAAGAGCGUGUAGGCGGCCAUACAGGUCAGCUGUGAAAACUCGAGGCUCAACCUCGAGACGUCGGUUGAAACCGUAUGGCUAGAGUCCGGAAGAGGAGAGUGGAAUUCCCGGUGUAGCGGUGAAAUGCGCAGAUAUCGGGAAGAACACCCGUGGCGAAGGCGGCUCUCUGGGACGGUACUGACGUUGAGACGCGAAAGCGUGGGGAGCGAACAGG
rnacentral:rRNA from 1 species